GCUGCCUAGCAUCUUCUCUAAGAGAAAGCAAAUGAGAACUGAGCAUUUGGAUGUUACGCCAUCCACAACCCCAGCCAACAUCCUCAGAGAACAUGCUUUGAAAAUGAUCGACGUAGCCAGCGAGGAAGACAGUAGAAGUACAAGCAUUGUCGGUAUCUAAUUCCAAACGCUUGCGAAGCAAGGCCAUCAACCCACCACCACCUUCUACUUUGACAUGGUAAAAGGAGCUUCUAACCUGCAAAGCAAUCAAACAAGACACCCUCUCAUCCAUGCUUUCUUCAGGAAAACAAGUAGAAGAUGAUGAUGCAAAGGCAAGUUCUUGGCCCAAUUCCAUGUCCAUAGUGAAUUGCUCAUCGUCCGCCUCCUCAAAGUGGCUGUUGGCAUGCCUUUGGAGUUCCGAUUGCG
rnacentral:misc_RNA from 1 species